rnacentral:tRNA from 1 species
UAUAUUUUAAUGUAUGAUGCAUAAAAGUUUUUGAUACUUUUAGUAACAGUUUGAUUCUGU